rnacentral:rRNA from 1 species
GAGUUUGAUCCUGGCUCAGAACGAACGCUGGCGGCAGGCCUAACACAUGCAAGUCGAACGCUCGUAGCAAUACGGGAGAGGCAGACGGGUGAGUAACACGUGGGAACGUACCCUUCGGUUCGGGAUAACUCAGGGAAACUUGAGCUAAUACCGGAUACGUCCGAGAGGAGAAAGGUUUACUGCCGAAGGAUCGGCCCGCGUCUGAUUAGCUAGUUGGUGAGGUAAUGGCUCACCAAGGCGACGAUCCGUAGCUGGUCUGAGAGGAUGACCAGCCUCACUGGGACUGAGACACGGCCCAGACUCCUACGGGAGGCAGCAGUGGGGAAUAUUGGACAAUGGGCGCAAGCCUGAUCCAGCAAUGCCGCGUGUGUGAAGAAGGCCUUCGGGUUGUAAAGCUCUUUUACCUGGGAAGAUAAUGACUGUACCAGGAGAAUAAGCCCCCCCCUAUCAGCGUGCCAGCAGCCGCGGUAAUACG